ACACUUUUGAACUUCAGUUUUCUUAUUUGAAAAGCAGACACUAUAUUUUGUGUUAUUUAAAAUUCCUCU
rnacentral:sRNA from 1 species